GACGAACGCUGGCUGCAGGCUUAACACAUGCAAGUCGAACGGAAACGCCGUGGAUGUGUGGUGUGCUCGGGUGGCGCACGCGUACGUGACACGUAAGUAUCCUGCACUUGCCUUUGAGAUAACUUCAACCAGCUGGAGCUCAUACCGGAAAGGCGCUCCUGCUGCUUGGUGGGGGUUGGAACGUUUCGGCGGUUGGGGAUGGACUCGCGGCUGAUCAGCUUGUUGGUGGGGUAGUGGCUUACCAAGGCUUUGACGGGUAGCCGGCCUGAGAGGGUGACCGGCACCAUUGGGACUGAGAUACGGGCCGGAGUCCUAAGGGAGGCAGCAGUGGGGAAGAUUGCACAAUGGGCGGAAGCCUGAUGCAGCAACGCCGCGUGCGGGAUUAUGGCCUGCGGUUAUGAAAGCGCAUUGGCCUGGGAGUAAGCGUGAGUGCAGGUAAUGGGUAAAGAAGCACCGGCUAAUUACGUG
rnacentral:rRNA from 1 species